rnacentral:rRNA from 1 species
AACGAACGCUGGCGGCAUGCCUAACACAUGCAAGUCGAACGAGACCUUAGGGAAUGGUGGCGCACGGGUGCGUAACGCGUGGGAACGGGGCGGUAGGUUCGGAAUAACUCAGAGAAAUUGGGGCUAAUACCGGAUGAUUUAUUCUGACCAAAGAUUUAUCGCCCGUGUAUGGGCACGCGUUGUAUUAGCUAGUUGGCGGGGUAUAGGCCUACCACGGCGAAGAUCCGUAGCUGGUAUGAGGGGCUGAUCAGCCACAUUGGGAGUGAGACACGGUCCAGACGCUUACGGGAGGCAGCAGUGGGGAAUAUUGGGCAAGGGGCGAAAGCCGGAUCCAGCCAUACCGGGUGAGUGAAGAAGGCCUUCUGGUUGUAAAGCCCUGUUGUUGGGAAAGAAAAGCAGCAGGUUAAUACCCCGCUGUUCUGACGGUACCCAAAGAAUAAGCACCGGCUAACUUCGUG